rnacentral:rRNA from 1 species
AGGACGAACGCUGGCGGCGUGCUUAACACAUGCAAGUCGAACGAUGACUUUUGUGCUUGCACAGAAUGAUUAGUGGCGAACGGGUGAGUAACACGUGAGUAACCUGCCCCUGACUCUGGGAUAAGCCUGGGAAACUGGGUCUAAUACCGGAUAUGCACCGUGGACCGCAUGGUUCUUGGUGGAAAGAAUUUUGGUCAGGGAUGGACUCGCGGCCUAUCAGCUUGUUGGUGAGGUAAUGGCUCACCAAGGCGACGACGGGUAGCCGGCCUGAGAGGGUGACCGGCCACACUGGGACUGAGACACGGCCCAGACUCCUACGGGAGGCAGCAGUGGGGAAUAUUGCACAAUGGGCGAAAGCCUGAUGCAGCGACGCCGCGUGAGGGAUGACGGCCUUCGGGUUGUAAACCUCUUUCAGUAGGGAAGAAGCGAAAGUGACGGUACCUGCAGAAGAAGCGCCGGCUAACUACGUGCCAGC